ensembl:lncRNA LINC00858 long intergenic non-protein coding RNA 858
AGGAACAGCUCCGGUCUACAGCUCCCAGCGUGAGCGACGCAGAAGACGGGUGAUUUCUGCAUUUCCAUCUGAGUUAGGCUUGGCCACAAGAGACAAAUUGCAAGGCAUGGAGACAUUUUUCUAACACUUGAAAAUUCUAUGCAAGAGCACCAGGCAGCUCAGUCACCUUGUCACUUAUCUACUGGGUCACCUUGUUGGCAUGGGAUGCCAGCCAGGCUUGCAGCUGCUCCAUCCUCCCCUGAAUUUGUACUUCAGCUUCUCCACUCAUGGCCUGCCCUGAGGACUUCAUGGUUCAGCAUCAGAUAUGAAGACGACAGCCCUAUAGAGACUAUUUAACCAGCUUCUAAGGUGGUUAAAUAUCUUACCAGCCUAUGAUGAAGAAAGGGAAACUCACUUCAGGUCAAUAGAGAUUGUCAUUUGGGACCCCUUCAAGACAACCAAUUAUAUGACUGUCUCUAAAAUAUUGCUAUCCAGCCCCCAUUCCUCACUUUUGUCCUACUGGUAAUAAGACAUUCAUCGUGUAUCUUUCAGAAGUCCAGAUACCACAGUCUGAGUAGUUCUUUAAUCUGCUUAUCUGGUGAUUCCAUCACAAAUGGUUCAGGUGAUGCUGAUGUCUUCAUACCUCCUCUUCACCCUUCAGAAGAGGUCCUCUUGCUUCUAGAAAGAGAAUACAAAUAGCUACAUUCCUACUCAGUGGGAGAAAGUGAGACUGUUCCAGAAGAUGAGGACUUAGGCUGGUAAUGUCCUGAGGAAAUGACUAUGCCAACCUAGAGAUCCCCUUGUGUGUGUGAUGCAGGCCUCUGAAGGAAAAGGUGCACAUUUUCAACAAUAAAAGAGAGACAUUCCUUUAGUGUAUCUCCACAUUCCCUGAAGGGGAGCUGGAAUGACAUGACGGACUUGGCCUCAGGGCCCCAAGCCUUCCCUGUUGCAGUCUUCAUGACACUCCUCAGAAGCAGCAACUCCAGCCAUGUCUGGAACCAUUCCUUACCAGACAGGAGGAUAUCAUGGCCUCAACUCAUGAUCUGUACCAAGCCAAACCUCUUUUGGGGUACCCACCAAGCCUCAGGCCUCACCUUCUCUGCCCUGUUGUCCCUGCCCAUCUGUCCUGGUUUUCUACUAGUUUCCACUACUGGACACUUGUCUGAGGCUGGGUCCCCACCUGGAUCUUGUGGCCUCUUGCCCAGGGCUUGGAGGGAAGCUGCUCCCACACUUGAAGAUGACAGCUGAGCAUGGUCCUUUGUGGGCGUGCUGUCAGGAAGAUGACAGUGCAAUCUGUUUAAUGUGCCAGUUGUCUCUGUGAGUCCCUCAUCCGGAUGAGCACUUGUCACACCCCUGCAGAGCCCCAGCUGGUUCUUAGAGAGGUGCUCCAGCUCUGUGAUUACCUAAUCUGGCUUCCCAAUCUAUCCCACAAUGUGUCAUUGCUGAGGUCCCUGUGGGUCUUGCAGAUAAACUUGCUACAGUCAUCCUACACAAAAAAGAAGCUCGUUAUCAUGAAACCGGCCUGCUUUUUAGCUCCUGGGCCCUAACUCACCCCAGAUUGCUGCCAGCUCUUUUGUUUUCCCACUUAGACCAAAGGGAUUGAGAAGCUUUCCCAUUCCUUGGAGCUGCCACCCUCCAUUCUAAGGCAGUCUCCCCCUUCACCCUGCUUGCUGCACCCCAGAUGCUGCAAGGCCCAUGUGCUGUUUUUGACUUCAGUACUUCAGAUUGCUGUGGGAACACAGGAGGCAGCAGCCAGAUGAGAAAUUGAGUCUGACUCUGGAGUAUUAUAAAGUCCUUAUAGUUACUGGCAUUAGGUAUAGGGUCUGUAUUAUUAAAGAGAAAUUAUUCACCAAA